GAUGAACGCUAGCGGGAGGCCUAACACAUGCAAGCCGAGCGGUAGAGUUUCUUCGGAAACUUGAGAGCGGCGCACGGGUGCGUAACACGUGUGCAACCUACCUUUAUCUGGGGGAUAGCCUUUCGAAAGGAAGAUUAAUACCCCAUAAUAUAAUGAUUGGCAUCAAUUAUUAUUGAAAACUCCGGUGGAUAGAGAUGGGCACGCGCAAGAUUAGAUAGUUGGUGAGGUAACGGCUCACCAAGUCAAUGAUCUUUAGGGGUCCUGAGAGGGAGAUCCCCCACACUGGUACUGAGACACGGGCCAGACUCCUACGGGAGGCAGCAGUGAGGAAUAUUGGACAAUGGGUGAGAGCCUGAUCCAGCCAUCCCGCGUGAAGGAUGACGGCCCUAUGGAUUGUAAACUUCUUUUGUACAGGGAUAAACCUACCCUCGUGAGGGUAGCUGAAGGUACUGUACGAAUAAGCACCGGCUAACUCCGUG
rnacentral:rRNA from 1 species